UCGAGUGUUACAACUCCCAAACCCUUUGUGAACCAUACCUACUGUUGCUUCGGCGGGACCGCCCCGGCGCCUCUGCGCGCCGGACCCAGGCACCCGCCGGGGGACCGAAACUCUUGAUUGUCUUAGUGGUAUUCUCUCUGAGUGGCACAAGCAAAAUAAAAUUA
rnacentral:misc_RNA from 1 species